UACGUAGGGUGCGAGCGUUGUCCGGAAUUAUUGGGCGUAAAGAGCUUGUAGGCGGUCUGUCGCGUCUGCUGUGAAAAUCCGGGGCUCAACCCCGGACUUGCAGUGGGUACGGGCAGACUAGAGUGUGGUAGGGGAGACUGGAAUUCCUGGUGUAGCGGUGAAAUGUGCAGAUAUCAGGAGGAACACCGAUGGCGAAGGCAGGUCUCUGGGCCGCUACUGACGCUGAGAAGCGAAAGCAUGGGGAGCGAACAGG
rnacentral:rRNA from 1 species